GUGCACUGUUCGUAACCUGGUUCGUCUUCAGUAUGAACUUGGGUUCCAUUCCAGUGCGAUAUUGAACUCCAGUGAGGCAGGGGAGCGGUAUCGUUUUGGGCCGACUCCCUGUUCACUCUCUGGGAACACCC